GGGGUUGUGGCUCAGUGGUAGAGCACUCACCUACCACAUGCGAGUGGUAGGGUUCGAUCCUCAGCACCA
rfam:Ictidomys tridecemlineatus contig101835, whole genome shotgun sequence.